AGUGGGAAUUUUCAAAAACAUUAUUCUAUGAUUCUUUGAGUUUUAUCAUAUUUUGGGUUUCACCUUACAAACCAAACAGAUUCUUACUUCAUAUAUAUAUUUUUAUAUAUAUAGAUGUAUAUUUUAAAUUUACUUUUAUAAUUAGAUUAUUAUUUUUCAUAAAAAAACAUCUUUUACAUGUACUCAGAUUGAUAAAAAGAGAAAAAUAAACCUACAUUUCAAACUGGUUGUUUAGGUUAAUUUAUUCCAAACUUGAACCAAGUAUUUUGAUAAGUUGAAUCCAGCAAAUUCAUUGGGGAAUUUGAUAGAAGAAUAUGAAACUCUGAAUAUAGUUAUUACUUUCAUAUCUUUAAAUCUCAACUUACAAAAAUCAACGGCAUCAAACAUGUUCUUCUACAGAUUACCGUCUUUAAUUGAGCUCUGAAAAAAUUGUGUGCAGAUUACUUACAAUUUGAUCUUGAGUUAUUUCAACACCAUGAUGUUUCAAAGCUUAUAUCCACUACUUGAAUUUAAAAAUAAAAAUCUAGUGUGAUGUUCAAAACCAAAGAUUUUACUCUACACUAGUUAUUAUCAGCAGCACAUUGAUGUGAGUAUAUCUUGUCAAGACAGAAGACAUCAAAAAAAUCAAAGAAAUAUAAAAAUGUAAUUACAUGACAAAGUGAAAG
rnacentral:lncRNA from 1 species